rnacentral:pre_miRNA from 1 species
UGGAAGACUAGUGAUUUUGUUGUUCUUUAAUUGAGUAACAAGGAAUCACUAAUCAUCCUA